UACGGAGAGGGCAAGCGUUGUUCGGAAUCACUGGGCAUAAAGGGCACGUAGGCGGAUCAGAAAGUCGGUUGUGAAAGCCCGGGGCUCAACCCCGGAACUGCUUCCGAAACUUCUGGUCUAGAGGGUGAGAGGGGAGAGUGGAACUUCUGGUGGAGCGGUGAAAUGCGUAGAGAUCAGAAGGAACACCGGUGGCGAAAGCGACUCUCUGGCUCAUUUCUGACGCUGAGGUGCGAAAGCUUGGGUAGCGAAC
rnacentral:rRNA from 1 species